UACGUAGGGUGCAAGCGUUAAUCGGAAUUACUGGGCGUAAAGCGUGCGCAGGCGGCUAUGCAAGACAGAUGUGAAAUCCCCGGGCUCAACCUGGGAACUGCAUUUGUGACUGCAUAGCUAGAGUACGGUAGAGGGGGAUGGAAUUCCGCGUGUAGCAGUGAAAUGCGUAGAUAUGCGGAGGAACACCGAUGGCGAAGGCAAUCCCCUGGACCUGUACUGACGCU
rnacentral:rRNA from 1 species